rnacentral:misc_RNA from 1 species
CGCGUACUUUUAAAUAAAAACUUGAAAAUUAAGCAACUUUAUAAAGUGAUGAGCGUUUUACAAGUAAAUAUUACCUAAAUUCUAGUCAAUCUUGAUCUUGGCUUGUGUUAGUACCAAAAUUAUUGUUUCCUCUGCCACAAUCCAAGAUCCAGAAGUUGCCUUCAUCAGUGAAAUUAGGAACUUUCCCAUUUAUGAAUGGUCUCGGCUAAUCAUUCUGCCAAAUUCAGACAAAACCCCACCGAUUAAUUUAAGUGGGAUUAUGUCCUUCAAGGCAUAGCAUGUGCAGCAAUAUCUAUAUAAAGAUCAAGAGUUAUGCCAUGGUUGAAUUAAACUUCACCCGCACUAGUGAUGCCUGCUGAAAAGAACUGCUCUACUCUGUCGAUGAAGCUACUAGGGAACCUAGAAUGCAACAUCACAGAAGUUUCAGGAGUCAGUGGACUAUGCUUCAAGGCCAUUUCUUCACCAAUUUUUGUUGCUUUGCAAUCUCUUUGGCUUCUCAUCUUGCUGCCUCUGACAGUAUUUCCUAAAACACUAGCUUUCCCCAAAGACACCCUAGUGCUUUUGGUGUUGUAACGGUUGGAUCUCAAUGGAAUAUCACCAUGCGAUUUUUUCAGUUCAGAAUUCUGCUGAUUACUUUCGCCAGAAUCCUCAAUUGGCAAAUUGUCCAAAGUUUGAUAUUGGCUUGAACCGCCAGUGAAACAUUUUUGCAAGACAUUAACAAGGAGAGUAGCAUAUCCAUACUCAAUUCUUGCAGAACCACAGACUUGUUCUGCUC